GAUGAACGCUGGCGGCAUGCCUAAUACAUGCGAGUUGAGCGGGCAUAGCAAUAUGUCAGCUGCAUACGGGUGCGUAACGCGUGGGAACGUACCUUUUUGUUCGGAACAACACAGGGAAACUUGUGCUAAUACCGGAUAAGCCCUUACGGGGAAAGAUUGAUCGACGAAAGAUCGGUCCGCGUCUGAUUAGCUAGUUGGUGAGGUAAUGGCUCACCAAGGUGACGACCAGUAGCUGGUCUGAGAGGAGGAUCAGACACAUUGGGACGGAGACACAGCGCGAAGUCCUGCAGAAGGCAGCAGUGGGGAAUAUUGGAAUGUGGCCGGUAGCCGGAACCAGCCAUGCCGCGUGAGUGAUGAAGGCCCUAAGGUUGUAAUGCUCAUUUGUGCGCGGAGAUAAUGACGGUACCGCAAGAAUAAGCCCCGGCUAACUUCGUGCCAGCCGCCGCCGUAA
rnacentral:rRNA from 1 species